rnacentral:miRNA from 1 species
GUAUAUAAUGCAGAGUGUGUGUUUGUAUGAGUGUGUGUGUAUAUAAUGCAGAGUGUGUGCAUUAUAUACACACACACUCAUACAAACACACACUCUGCAUU